UUUAGAGAGCUGCUAGAGGUAUAAUCUGUUUGAGGUAGAAGGAGGAAAAAGAAAAACCAAAGUACAAAAACCUUAGGUUUAUAUUUUGUUAUUGUUAGAGUUAGCAGUAAAAGUCAAAGCUUAGGGAGUGAGUAAGUUUUGACUCUGUAGAGCAUCUGUUGGCUAAUCAAAGCAGAUAUUCUAGACUUUACUUUCCAACUGUUCUUUAGAUUGAAUGUUUACAGUCAAUAAAAAGAUAAUAUAUUUUUCUUGCUCUGAGAGGGAUUUUGGUAUUUAACUGGCUGAUUUUUGCAUCUUAAAUGAAGUAAAUUAACUCACUUUCAGUACACAUCGAGAAUUUAUUAUUAACUGUUAGGUUUGAACAAGUUGAUUUUUUUUUUUCUUAGAUUUUACUUCUGUAGCAGGUAGGAGCUGAAAUGAGCUUCUUCUCACACUGCAUCAAUUUCCACAUCUUAUCUCAAGCGCUUUUUAUUUCUUGAGAAUAUGUAGGCGUGUAUAUAGAAGCUUUAAAAAAAAAACAAAGUGUGAGAAAAUCACAUUUUUGAUAAUCUGUUUGAUUCUUCAGCUGUUGUUUUCAGGAAAAAAUGAGAAAACGCAAUUAGUAACAACAGUAGUUUAUGCUUUGAAGUGAGCGCUCCUAGUAUGGGAAGAGAUGGCAGUGGAGGCAGUAUUCCACCUGAAUUGUACAAGUGUGGAAGAGCUUUUCAUUCUUGAAGUGCCAAGAAACGUGUGGAGCCCUUGUCUCUGCUAUAGGAAGGCUAAGCACUGAAGAUGUGUUUCUGCAGCUAAUUGCCCAUGUGAUACCCAGGUCCUGCUCUGCUGUGGGCUGCAAGGUGCUGCAGGCGCUGGAGACUGCAAACCUUAGGCUUUGAUCCAUCAGUCAGUGCGAAGCGCAAGCUGGUCUUGUUAAGGUGUCUUCGCUUUGAUACCAUAAACAACAGAGACUCGGGGGCUGCUGGCCACCAAGACAGGCACUGAUUAUUUAGUUCUGGUUUAUGUUUUCUGUACAGUGCUCUCUGUAUGUGAAGCAGUAUAAUUGAAAUCAUUAUUUUUUUUUAGUCUGACUGUUGUGACAUCUGUGAAUGUAAAGGCAUUUUUUUUAA